rnacentral:rRNA from 1 species
UACGUAGGGUCCGAGCGUUGUCCGGAAUUAUUGGGCGUAAAGAGCUCGUAGGCGGUCUGUCGCGUCGGCUGUGAAAACUCGGGGCUCAACCCCGAGCCUGCAGUCGAUACGGGCAGACUAGAGUUCGGUAGGGGAGACUGGAAUUCCUGGUGUAGCGGUGAAAUGCGCAGAUAUCAGGAGGAACACCGGUGGCGAAGGCGGGUCUCUGGGCCGGUACUGACGCUGAGGAGCGAAAGCGUGGGGAGCAAACAGG